UACGUAGGGUCCGAGCGUUGUCCGGAAUUAUUGGGCGUAAAGGGCUCGUAGGCGGUCUGUUGCGUCGGGAGUGAAAACUUACAGCUUAACUGUGAGCGUGCUUCCGAUACGGGCAGACUUGAGGUAUUCAGGGGAGAACGGAAUUCCUGGUGUAGCGGUGAAAUGCGCAGAUAUCAGGAGGAACACCGGUGGCGAAGGCGGUUCUCUGGGAAUAUCCUGACGCUGAGGAACGAAAGCGUGGGUAGCAAACAGG
rnacentral:rRNA from 1 species